CUCCAUGCAUAUUCCACUCUUCCAUCUCCAAAAAUCAACUCCUUCACAUUUUCUGUCCUUGCAAUUUAUUACCAAAUUUCUAGACUUAUAGAUGAGUAUAUACAGUACUCUACUUCCCACCAGCUCAUCCAGUAACCCAGCUAACCUAGUGCUUUUAAAGUAUCUUAAGUAAAGACAGGCAUGUAUUGCUGAAUUAGAUUCUUAUACAGAAAUCUUCCAUAUUCAGUGGUUGACCCAUCCUUGCCCUUGUUGGUAUAUGUUGAAGAUAAUCAGAUGUCAUUGUUGGGGUAAUCAUUACUCAUCACAGAGGCUUUCAAUUGGAAUCAACAAAAUCUUUCAAAUCAAUUUUCUGGCACCAGCUGCGACCUUUUAUUCUCACCCUCAAUGGUGGAUCAACUCUGAUAUCCAGCCUGCUCCUUGUAACUGAAUGUGUUGACAAGGAAUGAAAAUGCUGAUAGGGCAUUUCAAAGGCCUGUUGAUGCAGCGGAGUCAACUGAGAACUACUUAUCUUUCUUCCUCUGGCUAUCAGAACAGUUUGUUCUUUCCCAUGUUAAAAAAUGGUACUUUGCAGUCACUUCUAUGGAGAAGUAAGAAUGAAUUAGUUUAAUCAGACAGACAUCAGUUACUAAAGGAUGAAGGACUUUUCACUUUCUUCCACCCCCGUAAAUACCAUACUGAGUUCCUGUUAUCCCAAGUUGGAAAAAUGUAAUUGAGGAGUCUGGGAUGAAUUUCCCUGUGGACACACUUGGAAGAAGCAACAGUGGCUCCAUUAAAAAGAAUGAAGAAUAUUAUGAUCUGAAGUCAAAGGCUUUCGUGGCUGGUGUCCAUAGUUUUUUGUUGGGUUUUUGGGCUAUCUGGCCAUGUUCUAGAAGAGUUUA